rnacentral:rRNA from 1 species
UCGGAAUUACUGGGCGUAAAGCGCGCGUAGGCGGUUAGUUUAAGUGAGGUGUGAAAUACCCUGGGCUCAACCUAGGAACUGCAUUUCAAACUGGAUAACUUGAGUAUGUCAGAGGGUAUUGGAAUUUCCCCGUGUAGCAGUGAAAUGCGUAGAUAUGGGAAGGAACAUCAGUGGCGAAGGCGAAUACCUGGGAUAAUACUGACGCUGAGGUGCGAAAGCGUGGGGAGCAAACGGGAUUAGAUACCCUGGUAG